rnacentral:rRNA from 1 species
GACAGAGGGUGCAAGCGUUGUUCGGAUUUACUGGGCGUAAAGAGCGUGUAGGCGGCUAUGUAAGUCGGGCGUGAAAUCCCACGGCUCAACCGUGGAAGUGCACCCGAAACUGCGUAGCUAGAGUCCUGGAGAGGAAGGUGGAAUGCUUGGUGUAGAGGUGAAAUUCGUAGAUAUCAAGCGGAACACCGGUGGCGAAGGCGGCCUUCUGGACAGUGACUGACGCUGAGACGCGAAGGCGUGGGGAGCAAACAGG